UACAGAGGGUGCAAGCGUUGUUCGGAAUCAUUGGGCGUAAAGCGUGCGCAGGCGGUUCGUUGUGUCGGCGGUGAAAGCCCCGGGCUCAACCUGGGAAUGGCCGUUGAAACUGGCGAACUGGAGUGUGGCAGAGGGGGGUGGAAUUCCGCGUGUAGCAGUGAAAUGCGUAGAGAUGCGGAGGAACACCGAUGGCGAAGGCAGCCCCCUGGGCUGACACUGACGCUCAGGCACGAAAGCGUGGGGAGCAAACAGG
rnacentral:rRNA from 1 species